AAUAAAUAUACGCUUAAUCCUUAACAGGAGCGGGGGACCCGAGUAAGUGCGCAUGCACUGGGGGUGAAUCCUUGUAGUUUUGAGGUAGGACAGCUCUUCGUCCGAAUCCGACAGCUAACCUCGCUUGCGCUGGAGAGACUCAAC
rnacentral:sRNA from 2 species